GUGCACAAGUUUGCCUCCAAACAACUGGGUGAUGCCUCCAAACAGACCUGGAAUCAUCCAUUUCUCCAAGGAUCUCUGCUUCUUCUUGUAAAAUAGGCUAUUUAAGGACUACAAUCUGAGCAUUAAGGGUCUUGGAGGAAGGCAUCCUUCUAUUCUACUGAUCAGAAAGCUGGACAAAGUCCCACUGCCAGGCUACACAGUUGGUGCCAUUUGCGGAGGUGACCUUUGACCUUUAACCCACGCGGCCACCCGCCCGAGCUCUUACCCCUGCUGCCCCUCGCGCGUCCCACUCCCCGUCCCUGCCGGAUCCGCUUCCCUGCGCUGGGCCCAGCGCGCCGCCAGGGAAGGGGCCGGAGCCUGGGAGCCCGCCCCGCCGUCGCCCGUCCUCCGCCCGCAGGCCCACCCGCAGCGGUCACGUGAAGGACCGAGCGCCGCGCGCCCAGGCGGGGCCUCCGGCCUGCACGAGGAGGGCAGAGUCCGUUGCGGCUGCCGCCCCGACGCCCGCGCAUCCCCGCUCGCCGCGCCCGCCGCCGCGAUGUCCGGGGCCGGCCUAGCCGCGGUGGUGAGCUGCCUGCGCCCGCAGCCCGGCGAGGAGCCGCAGACCCAUGAGACGUUACUAUUUUUAUAACCACUAGACAACGCAGGUUGCCGCAUACUUCUUUAUUUGUGUAGACCUCGCUCUUGCCCUGUUUGAAGAGCCUGAGUUGCUUCCCCUGCCUUUCUUGGCCACCUCAAUAGCAGAAGUACUCUGCCUGACUGCAUACUUUGGCAGACUGGUACAUUUUGCAAAAGUCACUCCUCAAAUGGUUUUCUGGAAGGAUACAAAAGACAUCUGCACCAUGGUAACCACAGUGGCGAGUGUUCAUUGUAGUACCUGUAAGAGUUUAUGACCGAAGGCAGGAGCCAUGAAGAAAAAAGACUCAAUAGAUUUGCUUUUGAUGAAACAACAACACUUCCAUACAGUGAACGCCAUAAGCACAACUGCAAGCAAACCGCAAACUGAAGAACAAAUAGGGCAAAAUGUGGCAGUGCAGACAUUUCAGCAUAUCAAGAGCACUUCCAAAUUACAGGAAAAAAAAGAUAUCUCAAUAGAUAAUUUUGCUGAAGAUAAGUGAAGGCAACUCAUAAGGAAAAAAUAUGUAAAAUGGCCGAUAGGAAAGAUGUUUAACGUCACUAAUUAAAAAUUAUAGAAUAAAACGACAAUAAAA
rnacentral:lncRNA from 10 species